AGGAAAGAUGGCUGCUGUGCAAGUUGUCGGCUCCUUGCCUUCCGGGCAGCCGCGGGAGGCACCGCGGGAAGCAAUCCCUGAGCGAGGCAAUGGGUUUCGCCUCUUGUCUGCCAGGCUCUGCGCCCUGCGCCCGGAUGACAGCAGCUCUGCCCGCACCGAGAUCCACCUGCUCUUCGAUCAGCUCAUCUCCGAGAACUACAGCGAGGGCAGUGGCGUGGCCCCGGAGGACGUUAGUGCUCUUCUUGUCCAGGCUUGCCGACUGGUACCUCUUACUCAGAAUCAUCUUGUCAGCAAAGUGAGCCAGCUUAUCCACCAUUUACUUAACAGAUUACAGAGUCUCACACUGUUGCCCAGGCUGGAGUGUGGCGUGAUCUCAGCUCACUGCAAGCUCCGCCUCCCGAGUUUACACCAUUCUUCUGCCUCAGCCUCCCAAGUAGCUGGGACUACAGGCACCCGCCACCACGUCCGGCUAAUUUAUAAUUUCUUAUGGAAGAUAUAUUUGAACAAAAUAUAUCUAAGAAUAAAUUGAAAUAAUCCCCUGCCUCUUUCCCAC
rnacentral:sRNA from 1 species